GACGAACGCUGGCGGCGCGCUUAACACAUGCAAGUCGAACGGAAAGGCCUGCUUUCCCUUGUGGAUUGCGGGUACUCGAGUGGCGAACGGGUGAGUAACACGUGAGUGAUCUGCCCCCAACUUGGGUAUAAGCCUGGGAAACUGGGUCUAAUUCCCGAUAGGACUGCAGGGUGGUGCCUGUGGUGGAAAACGAUUUUCUAGUGGUUGGGGAUGAGCUCGCGGCCUAUCGGCUUGUUGGUGGGGUAAUGGCCUACCAAGGCGGCGACGGGUAGCCGGCCUGAGAGGGUGGACGGCCACAUUGGGACUGGGAUACGGCCCAGACUCCUACGGGAGGCAGCAGUGGGGAAUAUUGCACAAUGGGCGGAAGCCUGAUGCAGCGACGCCGCGUGGGGGAUGACGGCCUUCGGGUUGUAAACUCCUUUCGACCGCGAGGAAGCCACCUGGUUGGAAGGGUGGUGACGGUAGUGGUAGAAGAAGCACCGGCUAACUACGUG
rnacentral:rRNA from 1 species